GAAAUGCGAUAAGUAAUGUGAAUUGCAGAAUUCAGUGAAUCAUCGAAUCUUUGAACGCACCUUGCACUCUUUGGUAUUCCGAGGAGUAUGCCUGUUUGAGUGUCAUUAAAUUCUCAAACUUACUUCUUGUUAAUCUCUUGACUUGAAGCCAGUUUGGAUGUGGGAGUUGCUGGUUUUUCAAAUCAGCUCUCUUGAAAUGUAUUAGUAGUUUGGCUUUGUCCCACAUUCUCAAUUGAUGUGAUAGUUUAUCUACAUCAUUGGAGAAUGAAUCUGCUUCUAACUUUGUUGGUCUUUUGACUGACACUUUGACAAUUUGACCUCAAAUCAGGUAGGAUUACCCGCUGAACUUAA
rnacentral:misc_RNA from 1 species